rnacentral:lncRNA from 1 species
AUCCUUAAUGAAUAAUAGAGUUUUGCUUUUGAAAAUCAGCAUUUGUCUACUUCCUCAGUGUACAGAAAGUGAUGGCCCAAUUAUUGAAAAAUUUGAGUUUCAUUUCAUUGUGAUUGGAAGAGACACACUCCAUCCACUCUCUAUGAAAAGCAUCCGUGUACCUUCUUCCUCUUGGUCACUAGACAAGAGCCUGGAACUCACUGAACUGUGGGAGUGAAAGAGCUGUAACUCUCCUGCUCUCUGAUCUAUGGACAGGGGGACUAAAAGAGCUAUAACACUCCUGCCUUGCAAACUACAGUAGUAAAAAAGAAACACAAAAGUACCAUCAAAAGUUUCUGGUGAAAAUUGAAUUACCAAAAACAUUGAAAGUGCUUAAAACAGUACCUGCAACAUAGUAAGAGCUCAACAAACGUUAUUCAUUUAUGUUCAUAAUUUGGAUUGAUAAAUUACCCUACUGAAAAAUAAAUACUUUCAGAUUGAAUUUAAAAGCAAUAAUAAAAUCUCUUGAUGCUUAAAAGAGAUGAACAAGACAGCAAAUAAACUUCAAUGCUGAAAAUAAGAACAAUAUACAAAUUUUUAUCAAGGAAAUCUCAGGGACCCUGUAAACAGUCGUUCUGUUCAUAUUUGUUGUUGUUUCUUUAGAGGAGGGCAUCUAGGCAAUAAGAAAACUGGAAUGUGAAAUCUAUCUACUUUUCUGUUUCCAAAGCUCAGAAUUAUGUUAAUUUUACUGAACCAACUAACAGGAGGGGUGACUUUUUGUCAUUUAUAGAAAAGCAUUAUAGAUAAUAUUCAGGGGAUUCACUAAAAUAACAAGACACUCUGUGCAAUUGCCUAUUGGUAUUUGAGUUCCAGUGUAAAACCUAAAAUAAUUUGUUUAAAGUUAAAACAGUAUAACAACAUGACUUUAAAAGUUAUUACUUCACAUUCCAAGAUCAGAGAUCCUACCAUCUCUGGGGCCUGCCAAAAGUCGAUGAUACAGUCAUUUCAGCAGAAUCAUUCACUUGAUUACAUAAAGGGAAGAUUGGGAAAGAAAAGAUGGUGACUUUUGAGGAGAGUGCAGAGUGCCUAAAGGAAGAUCAUUGUGCUUCUCUAUCUGCUGUGAUAAAGGGGAGAGAGGGACACUUCUCUCUAGCAAAAGAUCUGCUUCUUCUGGACUUUGGACACAAGCUUAGGAAAGAAUUGGCAGAGCUGAUAGAGAGUGUCAUUAGCAGAAGCAUGCAUUUCCACCAUGUGGUUUGAAAAGUACCUAUGAAAUUUGCUGGGUUUGAUGGACGCCACUGAGGGGAACCUGACUUGAAGCAUCUUACUACUGCCCCUCCUGGAACCACUCUGUGCAUAGGAAUACUCAACUGAUGACAAUGAGUGAUUUAUGACACAACUGAAAAGAGAAGGAAGAAGCCGAGCCUAUGCUGGGAAUUCUAUGCCCAGAGUCUGCAUAGUGUACAGCUUUAUAAAACCCCUAAAUGUGUCUGACACAGAGUUUUCAUUUGGACUUGCAGCCUUAGGAAGGAGCAACAGCCUGCAGAAAUUCUUGUGAUAUUUUCAACGUACUUUAAGUGAGACACUGAAAAUUUGCUACUCUCCCAAUAAUAUUACGAAUUAUGAAGUCAUGACUCAUCUUUUCCAUUAUAUAGCUUUAUGAAAUUCACUUAAAGAUGAUUAUUUAAAAGCGUGUUUAGUAGGUAAGAAUAUACUAAGAAGAUAUUAUUAAAUGGUUUAAUUAUAUCAUGAAUCCUUUUAUAGUUUAGGAAUGUUAUUUUUAAUUAGCAAUUCUAGACAUGACUGGAUGGUGAGAACCAAGAUCAUAAUGCCAGCUGUGUUUGGCUAGCAUUAGAUGUGAUCUUCUGUUGAUCUUGGUUUGAGCCUUAAUCUUAUCCUCCUUUGUUGCUAUUGGAUGGUAAAAGCACCAUAAUGUUGAUCGUGCCAAAAAGGAAUAUUUAAACACUAACACUGCUCAAAGGUCUGAGAACUUAAGCUAACAAAAUUAUGGUUCUUUUUUUCCUCUCUUUCUGGCAUUUGGUUAAAUAGCUUCUAAUUACCCAAUUUGGGAGAAGUUCUGAAACCAUGUCCCAAAGAGUUAAAGCAACCAGUGACUAACAGAAAUUCUUGAGUUUGCAGAAUGGUGGAUAAGAAAGGAAACAACUUGCUAAAACACUGAAACUCCCUCCACUUAUGAGAUAAAAGAACUGGCUGAAAUCAGUUUGGUCAACUGGAGUUUGUGCGGAAGUAGCUUGCUGACAUCAUAGCCUGAAUUUUCAUUGCAUGUCUCAUACCAACUCCCUCCAGAAUCUGCACAUGCAAAUGAGUUAGCAUAAAAAAGGUAACUGUGCAUGCCCAAGGACUUUCCAGACCUCUCCUUUCCUUCCACCAAUAAAACCUGAUAAUCUCAGAAUCCAACCCCUGAAUCUUUUCUAAUGAAAAUAUAGUCUUGAAGCCAGCACAGGGAGACAGCUUGGAGCUUGACUCCUGUCUCCUCGGGAGUGGACUUUCAAUAUAAAGCUUUUCUGUCCUCAAAAACCUGGUAUAGUAUUGGCUUCUAGCGUAUUCAGCAGCAAGCCCCUUUUGCUUGAUAAAGUUCCAGGAUCCUUCCUGCCAGAGGUUUUGCAUGUCCCUCUUUUUCCAUUGCUUCUCUUGGCCCCUAACAUCUGUUCAUCUCAUUAACUCUUACUCUGUUUUUCAAUUCAAAAACAAUAAUAGCUUUAAAGAAACAUUCCUAACCUUCUCAAAUGCAUUCGUUUUUCUAAUGUAUACUUUAAUAGAACAAUGUACUUCUUCCUCUCAUCUCUCUCACAACAUAAAUUUACCCUAGUGUGAUUUGGUGAUAAAUAUCUGUCACUAUACUAGAUUGUAUAUUCAAGUCAUGUGGAGAAUGUGUCUGUUUUCGUUCAUGAUGGUGUCUACAUUAAAUAAUCCAAUGUGACAAGAAAUAUUUGUUCAAUGAAUGAGCUCCCUGAUGAAUGGAUAAAAUGAUGCUCUGAUAUGUAUGAAUGUUGAUAUUAGACACACUUAUCAAUUAUAUGUACUGUAAAUAGCAUGUAGUAGCAUUUCAAUGAGUAUUUGCUGAUUGACAGAUUUGACUAUCAAUCCCUGCUCUGAUUUCCUUUUGGGAUUUGAUUAUAUUCUUUGUACCCCUUCCAGCUUU